ACCUGAGUAACCUUUGCUAGUCCUGACUCAGCCAGUACUGAUCUUACACUGGCAGUGGGUCAGGGUUCAUAUUUUGGCAUCUCUCUCUGGGCAUCU
ensembl:miRNA MIR554 microRNA 554